CAUUAGAAGAGUCAAAUAGACCAUAAAGUCUAUUAUCUUCUCCAUGUUAAAAGUCCACCAACAAUGUUUUAUCCCUGUAACAUCAAUCAACAGUUCCUUUCCACAAUCAUAUGAAUAACUCAUAAUCAUAAUUGUGAUUCUAAAUUCCUCUUCUCAUCCAGGACGAAGAUAAUUUUCAUCACAUGUCUUUACCUGAAACAUCAAAGAUCAUGGUUAUACCAAAUCACAGUUCCUGUUCAUAAUCAUACUAAUAAAUUCAUCUUUGCACUACGGGCCAAAGAUAUUCAUUAACAGUUCAUCUUUGCACUACAUGCCAAAGAUAUUCAACAACAGGUCAUCUUUGCACUACGGGCUAAAGAUAUCCAUCAAUAAUUCAUCUUUGCAUUACAGGCCAAAGCUAUUCAGCAACAGGUCAUCUUUGCACUACGGGCCAAAGAUAUUCAUCAAUAAUUCAUCUUUGUACUACAGGCCAAAGAUAUUCAUAUCUCAAAGAAACAUACAAUUAUUUCAGAAUUUAUAUAAACCAUAAUUAUAAUCAUGUUGAUCAAUUCACCUUUGCACUUAAGCUAAAAAUAUUCAAUUGUAAAUUCAAUGGUCAUGAUCAUACCAGUCAAGAAUUCAUCUUUGCACUACUGGCCAAAGAGAACCCAUAGUCACGAUCAUACCAAUAAUCUACCCAUCUUUACACUUAAGUCAAAGAGAAAUUUCAUCACCGAGAUUAUAAAAAUGUUAUAUAUGAUAAUAAAAACAAUAUGAUCAACAACUACAUUUAAUUUCAAAAGUAAGAUUCAUAAAUCAAUGAUUUUAUAACACCUUAAUCCAAAUGUUAUAAAUCACUUAAUAAUCUCAUAAUCUAAUAUCAUUAAUAUUACCACAAUAUCUUAAUCAUUUCUUCAAUUUAUUAACAAUUUAUUUUAAUUGUUUACACUUUACUAAUUAAUGCAUUUAAUCAUCCUAAAAUGCCAAACUCAUAAGAUUUCAUCACCAAUAACCAACAACCUCAUCAAAAAUCUGCAUAUACCAAUAUAUAGGAUUCUCAAGCCAUAAAAUCCUAUUUUCUAAUUUUAUUACUUCACAUAACAUAUUUAAUUCAUUUAUUAAUAACUAGUCUAUUUUCAUGAAAAAAACAAAAUCAGUACAAACAAAUUUUCUUUUCUGGGAUUUAGCAGAAUAUAGUCCCAUAUUGAACAUAUAUUUUUCUCGGAAUUUUAAAAAUUCAUUUACUAUUUUUCAUAUGGCCAAAACUGCCGAAUAUUUAGACAUUUAUCAUAAAUUGUAUUGUUGUCCAAAAAUUCCGAAAUUUACAUAAUAUACUGAUGUUAUAUAGAUGUACUCCCAAUAAAAAUUUAACUAAUUUUGGAGCUAACCACAAGGAGUUAUAAGGGUUUACUUUUAAAAUAGUCUUUUCUCAUAAAAUCCAUAACUCCUAAUCUAUACAUUCAAAAAUGGCCAUUUUUGGACACAAUCUAAGAAACUCAUCAAAUUAUCAUUUCAAAUUUUUCCAGAAUUUUUGAAGGUUCAAAAAAAUUUCAAAACUAAAAAACAUAAUAACCCUUAAAAUCCCUUACCUCAAAAUAGCAGUACUUCGCACCAGAAUAUCGGAUAUGACGUUGAAGGAAACUUGCACUCAUUAGGAACUCUCAAAUUAUCAAAAUACUCACAAAAUACGCUCGAUAAUGUAGAGAGAGAAAGAGAGAAAGCUUAUGUUUCUGGUAUAAUUUUCAAUUCUAACUGAGCUAUCUAUUUAUAGGAAAAUGUUAGCACGCCGAAUCAAACUUGACUUGCUACCUGAUGGCUUUACCUAUUACUAUUGCCACCCACAACAUUUGAAUCAGAAUUUCAGCACAUUUCUUCACCAACCAUAGGUGGGGCCCAAGCAUUCUAGAAUUUUCAACCAAAAUGAUAAAUUCAGAAACUUCAACAAUUUUUGAACCAGUCACCUCUUAAAAUUCAUAACAAAUCAUACGUUAAUUUUUAACGGUUCAAAAUUUGUGGAAAUAUACUCAACCUAUAUAGGUAUAACAUAUCCAAAAAUCAUAAUGAUCCAACGGUCGGAUUAAAAAUUAUAACUCACGCAAUAUAUAGCAAGAACACUGAUUUGAUUUUUAGUACCUCCAUUCCGACAAAAAUACUGAUAAAACACCUCAACAUUAAUUCCUUCAAUUAUAACCACAUAAAAUAAAUAAAUCCAUCAAUUAUAUCCGCAUCAAAUGAAUAUUUUCUUAUCAUAUAAAUCAAUAAUUAAUUAUUCACAAAUAAUAUUACAGAAUCACAAUAAUGACAACCAGGCAGUUCUCAGGAAAGAGGGGGCUUUUUGAUAAGGAUUUCUCCUUACUGGCGCGCAAUUAGGUGACCAAACCUCUCCUUGACAGAACUUUCUAGACAUUGCCAAUAAUGUUAUUUAAUAAUAUUAUUCAAAUGAAUUAUUGAUUUGAUAAUGGGAAAUACUGUGCAGUGACAAUUAUUGAAACAACAAUAAUAUAAAAUAUCAACGCAACAAUUAUUGAAUCAAUAAAAUAAAAUAUUGAACAGUAAUUACUGUAACAAUUAUUGAGUGGAGCCUUCUUACGUAAGAAUCAAUAAUUCAAAAAUAUUGUGCAAUACCGUGUGCUACUGUGCAACCACGCGUAUUACUGUAUUUUAACCACCAGGUAUUCCAACAUUGUUAACGGUAACAACUACGUUGUUAUUUAUAAAAACUCAAACUUGUCGUUUUCUUCAUCCGACAGUUAUUCUUUUAUGGGGCCCACAAAUGGUUGCGUCAUCGUACGAAUAUUCCCUGACAACAAGAAUAUUCCACGAUCAAACGAAUAUUCUCCAACAGAAAUGAGUAUUUUAUAACCACUUGCGUGAUUUGAAAAUUUUAUAUAUAUCACCCUUAAUUUGAACUUUUUUAUCAAUUUAACCAUUUACUAAAUAGGAAAAUUGAAUACUUUUAUUUCAUAAAAUCUGGGGUCUUACAAAGAUAGGUAAAUUCCCUUCGAUUGGAAAAAUCCCGACGAGCUUUAGCGUUGGCUCUCUUUGCAACCUUAUCCUCCAUAGCUUCGCUUUCUAGAGGUGGUGAUGGAGAAUUCAUAACAAAAGGAAGGAGAUAGGCAUGCUCAUGCCUGAUUAAUUAGCGUGUGACUUGAUGUUGGUGGGUCACCAGUUCUGCCAAUUGCUUAAUUUGUUUGCAAAGAGCUUUCAUCUUUCAUUCUAUAGUGAACUGGAACUUUGCAUAAUCCCAUAUGUCAACACUGUCUUUGUUGGUUUGGGAUGGUUCACUAUUAGAAUUGGAACUCUGUCCAGUGCUCCAACUGAUCGUGUUGACCUCUUCUUCUUUGUGUUGAGGAAGAGGGUUGUCUUGCACGUGAGGUUGAUCUGGUUUGGUAACCACGAUCUCACCGUUGUCUAUUAAAUCUUGGAUCUUAUGUUUCAAGGCCCAACAAUCUUGAGUAUCAUGUCCAGGUGCUCCGGCAUGAUAAGAACAUUUCCGAGUAGCAUUAAAACCCCUCCCAUUAGGGUUGGCUGGCGGAAGAAGAUGUGUAAUUUUUCUUCAGAGUAGUCAGAAGAGCAAGAAUAUUCUCGAGUGAGUCCCCUAAGGGUGUGAACGUUCGAGGAUGCUUUACUUCUCCACCUUUAGGCAAUGGAGGGUUUGAAGGCUGUGCUUGAAAAGGGGAGUAGUUUUUCCUCUGUAGAGGCACGCUUUGAUUGCCUUUUUGACCUUGUAGUAUCAAGGAAACAUCCUCCUCUUUCUUUUUAUGGACCCUCCGGGGGUUGUUUCCAUCAGAUCCGGACUGGAUGUGCUCAGCAACAGCUUUAAGAGCGGCUAAGUCUUGAAUUUUACCAGACUUCAAUCCCAUUUCAGCCAUCUCCCCGUGUUUGAUCAUUUCAGAGAAUGGUUUGCCAAUACCAGCUAAGACUCUUUCAUAGAAAGGAGCUUCCUGUACAUCUAUGAAUGUCAUGACCAUUUCUGAUUCUGUCAUUAAAGGAAUACCUUGAGCUGCAAGGCGCCUCCACCUUUGAGCAUACCCUCUGAAAGACUCAUUAGACUGUUUCUUGACCUUAGUAAUUUGAUAUCAGUCAGGAGCCAUCUGAGAUUGAAAACUAUAUUGAGUGAGGAAGGCGUGAGCCAGCUCUUCCCAGCUAUGGAUCUUUGAGUUAUCUAAUCUAGUAUACCACGAACGGGCUUCUCCAGUCAGACUUUUCUGAAACAGCUGCAUUCUGAGCUUUUCAUUUUCUAUGUAAGACCCAAGUUCUCCAAUGAACACUUUCAAAUGUGUAUAAGUAUCCCCUAAUCCGUCAUACUUUUCAAAAUUAGGGGUUUUGAAUUUCUAUGGAUAAUGAACACCAAGGAAGAUACAAAGGUCAGCAUAUGAAACACUUCCAUGUGUUCCAAUCCCUUUAAGAACACAGAUAGUUUCCUCCAUUUAGAGUACUUUCUUUCUGAUAUCACCGGUGUCUGGAUCUCCUUUGAGAUGGGUGUUUCGAGGGUCUUCGUUGGUCAUAUCCAAUGGAGAUUCUAGAUUUGUUUUAUUUAGACAUUGUGCUCCCCCUUGGGCAGAGGAUUCUGUAUGUGGAGGGGUUUUUGUACCCUGAUUGGACUGAUGCAAUUCUUUAAGCAGGACAGCCAAAUUUUUGAUUUGCUGACUUAAUCCGUCAAAUUCUUCUUGAGAAACAGGAUUAGACUGGUAAGACGAAGACAUGAUUGGCUGUAGCGCUCUUGGCCUUUUUGGAUUUUGAGCGGGUAAUAGGCCCAAUGAUUUCCCUACAAAAGACUUAUAUAGUUUAGUCUCAAGGUAAUGCAAAUGUUAUCAUAACAUGUCCGUUUUAGGAAUACGGUCCUGCAAAAUUGGGUGUUAAUUGAUAACAUGCAUGCACAGAUAAUCUUGAUAUUUUCCAUUACAUAAAGAUGAACAUGGAAUAAAAUUACAAGUAAAUGCUUUUAUAAGUAAUUAAAAAUGGAAAGCAUGAAGAGAAUUUCCUCCGCGUUUGGUUUAUCAGAGGUUAACCUAUCUUAGGGUUUCUUUCGCGGCUUUUUGGCAUGAAGGUUCCCAGAUCAUCACAAUUUACUUGACAGGAAGUUAAUCCGGUCUUUCAACUGGAGCGAAUCUGGGUGGUGCCUUUCCUGAGCCCCAUUGGAAUUAUUCUUCCUACGAGUCCAGUAAUCAAACACCGACAGGAUAGCCUCCUGAUGGAGGAACCACACAACAUACAUUCACAUACAACGUGUCUUACCGUUUAUGCAAAAUGAUGGCAUGUGCGAAGCACUAAUAUCGCAGAUAGAUAUAAUAUUGUGUAGUAAGUAAAAUGCAUUUGUACACAUUCAUCAUAAAUGUAAAUGCAACAUUCACACACAAGCAUAUAACAGUCUUAAAAAGCUUGUAAUAGCGGCUUAAGCCCUCUUACUGGAGUCCCCAGCAGAGUCGCCACCUGUCGACGUCGAUAUUUUUUAGUGUCCCUUUUCGUUACUUGUUCUUUGGUGUUCUCAUGUUAAUGUGAGACUUGUUUGAAAAAACAAGUGAAAAAGGUCCGACAUGUAUAAUGUUGACGAUUUGACUUUAAGAGUGGCCAGUUGGUGUAUUUAACUGGUUGCACCAACGCAACCGAAAAGGUUUGCACAUUGACCCAGUGAUGUGACACUGCUAAACGAGUCUGUGAAACUGAGAUUCAUUUGGGUCCGGGGGUUUGAUUAUGCGGAGGGAAGGUGUUUAAACUGAGGAAACACUCAAUAUGGGUGUAUACAGAGUAAAUUGGACAGGGCUACCUCGCCUUUUCUCUCUCCUUCCUCUUUCAAAUGGUUGACCCCAAGGUCUAUAUUUAUAGACUGAUAGCCGCAGGUACACCUGCGGCAGCCGCGGUUGUACCUGCGGCUGGUCGUGGUGCAUCCGGGCCUCGUGGGUCCCGUCACCUUGAAGUAUGUGCACUCGUGCACUGUAAUGUCCGCUCGAACUUGAAGAACUUAAAUCUGAGCAUCCGAACGAGGUAUAUGUGACCUUCUUCGGAUCGCUUGUGUCGAGAGUUACACAAUGACAUGGAUUAGAGGUUGUACGAAGUCAGGAAGAGGGGUUUAUGCCCAUGGUCUUCAAGCUUGAAAUUCUAUCCAAGGUACUGUCAUGCGUAAUAGUCACUCGGGAUUGUAACUCCUCGGUUCUUGUGGGACAUUGUUGGAUGUAUGUAUAUAUGAAGUGUUGAGAUGACGCGCAGGUGUUGAAGGGGGGCAAGAUGACGUUUGACUCUUCACUAGGGUUAUCGCCGGUUUGAGUUGAAAGUAGAUGUUGCUCAGGGUUACAUCUGAGAUUGGACUACUUGUUGGUAUGUUGCGCUAUCAUCUUUUGAGAGAGAAUGUUGAGGCAGUAAGAUGACGUUUGACUCCUCACCAGGGUUAUUGCCGGUUUGAGCUGAAAGCAGACAUUGCUCAGGGUUACAUCUGAGACUGGACUACUGCAAGUGUUUGAAUGCCGCAAGGUCAUCUUGUAGGAAAACCUAUCUUCCCGGUGUUAGCUUCGGGUCUAAGGUAUGAGUGCCUCGGCAGGAUAUCUGAGCUUGAAGCUGAUAGCUUGUGUUUGAAAUAAGUAUUUCCGGAGUUAUCACCGGAACUAUAACAGCACUCCUUGGGAUUAUCGCCAAGGACGAAACUCGGGGUUAUCUCCGAGGUUGGAAAUGAUCCUUCCGGUGCAUGUUCUGGGGUUGGAAAUGAUGUUCCCGGUGUGUGUUCCGGGUUGCGAACUUGAACUUCUGGUAGUAUUCGAAAUGGAUAUAAGCUAUCUUCCGGGGUUAUCUCCGAAAGACGAAUCUGCCCUCCUACAAUGUCAGUAACAAGCAUGCAGAAAAUUUCGAGUGUCUACAAAUGUUUAGAAAAAUAUUCUCGUGAAAAGAUACUCAAUAAAGUGAAAAUUUCAAAGAUAUUCUACUAAUUUUAAGGAGUAUAGAAGCAAUACUUAUCAACCUAAGUGUAGGAUAAGGAAUAUGAAACGAAAUAAUAUUACUUACAUACUACAGAGUAUAGAAGAAAAUAUUAUUUCUUACAAAUACUGAACAAAAUAAUAUCCCUUACCUUAAAAAGGAGAGUACUUCUGAAUGGUAUAACGGAGAUAUUCUUGAAGAAAACUUAUUCUGCUUUCUAUACUCAAAGCUUCCUUAAUUCAAAAGAAAUACGCUCAAUAUUAUAGAAGAAGAAUUCUCUGAUUCUGGUGUGAUUUUCAUUUAUAAACUAAGCAUUCUAUUUAUAGGAGAAUGACAUGAUACUAUUUAAGAAAAUAAUCACGGACUGCACAAAAAAAUAAUUUCGGGCACAAUGUAUCAGCACACCAUUUGAUCAACCAAUAAGAGAAUACCCUCUUCUGAAGGUAAUUAGAAAUUGGGAGAGAUAAAACAAUGGGAGAGCGCCCUCUUGAGGAGGUAACUAACAUAGUAGGAGAUAAGGACCAAUGAGGGAGCGCCCUCUUUUGAAGGUAACUAGCAAAUAGGGAGAUAUGGACCAAUGAGGGAGCGCCCUUAUUAACAAGUUAGUGAAUAGUAACUGAAUUAAUUGAAAAUUUGGCCAAAUAUCAUAACAUACGGAAGAAUUUUGUACCCUAAAAAAACUAAAUGAACAAACACCAAUUUAAAAGGAUAAUUAAACAAACAUCUUCCACUCAUCAACUAUUAUUCUUACCUUUAAUCAACACGAUCUUUAUUCAUCAUUAAUAUUAUAACUCACAAUAUUAACAACCAGAUCAUUCUCAGGAUAAAGGGGGCUUUCAGAUAAGGAUUUCUCCCUAUUGGCGCGCAAUUAAGUGGCCAAACCCCUUUUCUCAACAGAACUUUCUAGACAUCGUCAAUAAUGCAAAUAAUAAUAUGAAUAACUUUGUCGUCUCAAUUAUUGAUUUAAUAAUAUAAAAUAUUGUGCAGAUGAAUUUGUGACAAUAAUUGAAUUAAUAAUAUGAGAGAUACUAUGCAGCAAUUACUGUUGUAAUAAUUGAAUAAAACUGAGUGACUUCUCACGUAAGCAUCAAUAAUCAAAGAUACUGUAUAAUACCGUGUGCUACUAUGCAACCACGCGUAUUACUAUACUUAUACCACCGGGUAUUUUAACAGUUAACGGUAAAACUUUUGCCGUUAUUUUUAUAAAAAGUUAUUUCUGUCAUUUUUUAACUCCGACAGUAAUUCUGUUGUGGGGUCCACCAAUGAUUGUGCCGUCGUAUGAAUAUUCCCUAAUAAAACGAAUAUUCUCCGACCAAAUGAAUAUUUUAUAAUAACUUGCUUACUUUGCAAAAUUUGUAAAUAUUACCCACAACUAUAACAUUAUAUCAAAUCCAUACCAUAAUAUUCAAAAUGAUAUUUAGAGAAAAUUAUUCUUUAUUUAUAAAAGUUGGGGUCUUACAACCUUAUCUUUUUAUGAAAUUUCGUCCUCAAAAUUGGUGUACGUACCUGGUAUGUCGAAGAGGUGAGGAUACCUUGAUUUUAUUUCAGAUUCUAACUCCCAGGUCAUUUCCUCCACAUCGUGGUUUCUCGACAAAACUUUGACUUGAGGUAUAACCUUGGACCGUAGAAUAUGUUCCUUCUUAUCUAAAAUUUUAACAGGUACCUCUUCAUAUGUUAAAUCUUCCGCUAUCUCGCCUGAUUCUUACUCAAUAAUGUGGUUCGGGUCUUUCACAUAUUUACGUAACAUAGAUAUUUGAAAAACGUUAUGAACACGAGACAUACUAGGCAGUAAGGCGAGUCUAUAGGCCACAAUUUCCCACUCGAUCGAGGAUUUCAAAUGGGCCAAUGAAUCAAGGAUUGAACUUUCCUCUCCUUCCAAAUCUCGUAACUCCCUUCCAUGGAGCAAUACGUAACAAUACACGAUCUCCAAUAUUAAAUUUCACGUCCCUUCAAUGAAGAUCAGCAUAACUCUUUUGUCGAUCUUGUGAGGUUUUUAUACGUUUCCGGAUCAUUUGAAUCUUUUCUGUAGUCAUGCGUACCAAUUUCGGUCCCAACAAUGUUGCUUUACCUACCUCAUCCCUGCAUACUGGAGAACGACACUUGCGUCAAUACAACACCUCGAAUUGAGCCUUGCCUAUACUUUCUUGAUAACGAUCGUUGUAGGAGAAUUCCACUAAUGGCAAGAACUUGUCCCAACUUCUUUGAAGUCAAGAACAUAAAGUCUUAAUAGAUCCUCGAGAGUUUGAAUAGUCCUCUACGACUUCCCAUCUGUCUGAGGAUUAUAUGUCGAACUAAAUCCUAAAUUCGUGCACAUAGCUUUCUACAAACUAACCCAAAAUCAUGAAGUGAAUAUUGGGUCUCGAUAAAAAACUAUGGAUACUGGCAUACCAUGAAGUCUUACAAUCUCAUUUAUAUAUAUACGAGCAAGACGUUCAACUGAAUAAGUUUCUCGUAUAGGUAAGAAAUGAGUAGACUUGGGUAAUCUAUCGAUAAUGACCCAAAUUGCAUCCAUGCCUUGAGAAACCUUGGGAAGACCAAUAACGAAGUCCAUGGUAAUAACUAAUGUGCUCCCACUUCCAUUCUGGAAUUUCAAGUGGUUGCAAUGGACCUUUUGGCACUUGUGCUCCGCCUUGACAGGUUGAAAAGUUAAACGCCUUGAGAUAAACUCGGCUAUCUCUUUCUUCAUAUUGCUCCACCAAAAUGUAUGUUGAAGAUCACGAUACAUUUUGGUACUCCUAGGAUGGAUUGCAAACGGUGUGUUGUGCGCCUGCAUCAUGAUUUUAUACUUCAAAUGAGAGUCGUUAGGAACACAAAGUUUGGAUUUGACUCAAAGUAUUCUUUCUUCAUCGAUUCUUUCUUCCGGAAUAGCACCUUCUUGCACUUUUUUCUUCAUAUGCAUCUGCUCUAGGUCCGUAGUUUGGGCAUCUUUAACUUUAUCGAUUAAAGUCAGUUCUACUCGUAUAUUUGACAUCAUCACGUGGGUCCCUGGAGUCUUUAACUCUAUCUUCAUCCCUUGUAAGUCAUACAAAAUGGGCCUUUGCGUUAACAAUAUCGCACUUGUACCCGCAUAUGAUCUUCUACUCAACGCGUCAGCUACCAUGUUCACUUUUCCAAGAUGGUAUUGAAUGGUAUGAUCAUAAUCUUUCAACAACUCGAGCCAACAUUUUUGCCAAAUGUUGAGUUCCUUUUGGGUGAAGAAAUAUUUGAGGCUUUUAUGAUCUGUAUAGAUCUCCACCUUCUCCCCAUACAGGUAACGUCUCCUGAUCUUUAGUGCAGAAAUGAUUGCUGCCAACUCUAUAUCAUGAGUAGGAUAAUUCCUCUCAUAUUCUUUGAGUUAUCGUGAGGAAUAGGCUAUGACUUUCCCAUGUUACAUGAGAACACAUCCUAACCCUCUGCCUGAAGCAUCACUAUAGAUGACAAAUCCCUCCGAACCAGAUGGUAUUGUCAGAACAGGUGCUGAAAUGAGUCUCCUCUUGAGUUCUUGAAAACUCUUCUCACAUUCCUCGCUACUAUCGAAUUUUGUAUCUUUUCGAGUCAGUUGAGUUAAUGGAGUAAUGAUUCAAGAAAAUCCUUCCACGAAACUCCGAUAAUAACCUGUUAAGCCCAAAAAGCUAUGUACUUCAGUCACUGACUUAGGUUUCUCCCAACUUUGUAUUACUUUAAUCUUCGUUGGGUCAACAUAUAUUCCAUGAUUUGAUAUCACGUGACCAAAGAAUGCUACUUCCUCAAGCCAGAACUCGCAUUUCUUCAACUUGGCAUAAAGCUUGUUUUCACGAAGCUUUUGGAGUAUCAUCCUCAAGUGUUGCUCAUGAUCUUCAUAACUUUUGGAGUAUAUGAGGAUGUCAUCAAUAAAGACAACCACAAAAUGAUCCAAAUAUUCCUUGAAUACUUGGUUCAUCAUAUCCAUGAAGGCAGCAGGAGCAUUAGUCAAUCCAAAAGACAUGACUAGGAAUUCGUAUUGUCCGUACCGAGUUCUGAAAGCAGUCUUUGCAAUGUCAUCAGUUUUAAUCUUUAACUGAUGAUAUUCGGAAUGAAGAUCGUUCUUUGAAAAGAAUUUGGCGCCUUGCAGCUGGUUAUACAGGUCAUCAAUACGAGGUAUCGGGUACCUAUUUUUGAUGGUGACAUGAUUCAACUCCUGAUAUUCAAUGCAAAGUCGCAUACUCCCAUCUUUCUUCUUUAUGAACAGAGCAUGAGCACCCCAAGGAGACGUACUAGGACGAAUGAAACCGAUAUCUAAUAGUUCUUGCAGUUGGGUUUUUAACUCCUGAAGUUCAAUAGGAGCCAUUCAGUAUGGGGCUUUAGAAAUGGGUUUUGUACUGGGUUAAGGAUCAAUACAAAACUCGAUUUCACGCUCUGGGGGUAGUAUGACGCCCCCAAAAUAGGUAUACAUCACCUAUUCUGAGUCGCCAAAUACAUGGUACAGAAUACAAAUACAAUCUUAAAUAUACAACAUGAGCCAUGAGUUUUAAUACAAAUAUUGUCUUCUAGACAGUAUUCAAACUCAAAAUAGGUCCUCAAUACAUUUAUUAACACACUAUUUCAUAGAAUAGUGAGGACUAGUAAUGCAAUAAUCUGGACCGUCACUCCGUUCCCCGACUAGUCCCUGCUACGUUCUCAUUUCCUGAAGAGAACAAUGAAAGUAAAAGGGUAAGCUCAAAUAGCCCAUUAAGAAAUAUUAUGACUAAGAUAAUGCAGAAUAAAUUAUCGUUAGCCUUCAAUAGUGUUAAACUGAUACAAUAUAACAAAUAUCAAGUUUAACUGCAGCGGAAUAAGCAAUCCAUUAAAAGAGUCAAGUAGAGAAUAAAAUCUAUUAUCUUCUAUAAUUUAAAAGGUUUUUCAUAACUUUUAUUGCUGAGACUCAGCUUAAUAAAUAAACCACAUCAUCCCUGCACUACGGCCAAGGAUAUUCAUUAGUAUCACAACUACAAAUUAUCCAUGCACUACGGGCCAAAGAUAUUCGUGUAUUCAUCAAUGGUCAUGAUCAUGUCAACAACUGUCCAUCAAUGCACUACGGGCCAAUGAGGACUUUUACCACAUCAUUUGUAACAUUACGGUCAUGAUUAUACCGAAUAAUCCCUGGUCAUAAUCAUACCAAGUCCAUCUAUGCACUACAGGCCACAAAUGACUUUCAACAUAAUAUAAACAUGAGAAUGAUGACAAUGAUAUAAGAAUUCAAUAAAACAAGUUCAAGAAUUAAUUUAUCCAGGAACUAAUAACGUCCAAAUUGUCAACAUGAUACUACUUUGUGGAGAAAAAUUCAAGAAUGUUUAGAAGAAUAUUUUCAUGAAAAGAUAUUGGAUGAAGCGCAAAUAUCAAAGAUAUUCCACUAAUUUCAUGGAGUAUAAAAGCCAAAACUUUAACCAACUGAGUAUACUAAAGAAUGGAAUAACAAAAGAAAUCACCAAUCAUGCGAUAGACAGCACAGACAGGUUAUUCCAACAGAAUAAUAAAUAACGGAACCAGGUCAUGUGUAAAUGCACAGACAGGAUAUUCCAACAGAAUAAUAAGUAAUGGAACCAGGUCAUGCGUAAACGCACAGACAGGAUAUUCCAACAGAAUAAUAAAUGACGGAACCAAGUCAAGCGUAAACGCACAAACAGGAUGUUCCAACAAAAUAAUAAAGAAUGGAAUAACAGAAGAAUUACACCAUGUAUGCGGUACUUCGCAUAGACAGGUUAUUCCAACAUAAUAAAGAAUGGAAUAACAGAAUAAUUUCACAAAGUAUAGGGUAGUCCACGUAUACAGGUUAUUCCAACAGAAUAAUAAAGAAUGGAAUAACAGAAGUUCUCUUCACGAAUAUAAAAGAAAUAAUACCCCUUACGUAUACAACAAAUAAUAUCUCUUACCUUAGAAGAAACUGGAUAUAGGAGUAGUGAAGUAGCAUAAUACUUUUCUUCUUUCUCUCUAUAGUUUCUCUCUCUAGAGUUUCAGUGAAUUCGUAAGAAAUAAUGAAGGAAUGAGCUUCUAUUUAUAGGAGAAUGGACUAAAUAGUAACUAAUUCAUGAACGGUCCAGAUUGAUUUACUUUUAAACGGACGGUCCAUAUUAAUUUACUAUGCAGUAUUAAUAAAAUAUUCUAAUAAAAUAAAAUCUUUUAAAUAAAAUAUAAUAUAUUCUAUUUAUAAUCUAAUAAAAUGAAUAACUUUAUAAAAUUAUUAUGUUUUAUAUAAAAAGAUUUUACUAUGCAGGUACUAUGCAAACACUAUGCAUAAUAGAAUAUUAUAUAUUCUAUUUAUAGCCUAAUAAAAUGAAUAAUUUUAUAAAAGUAUUCUGUUUUAUAUAAAAAGUUUUUUGUUUUAUUACAUUUAUAUUAAUAAUAAAACAAAACUUAUUACCUUUACUAUAAUUCACAAUAUUAAUCGACCAGGUCGUUCCCAGGAAAGAGGGGGCUUUCCAAUAAGGAUUUCUCCUUAUUGGCGCGCAAUUAGGUGACCAAACCUCUCCUUGGCAGAACUUCUAGACAUCGUUAAUAUUUCAAAUAAUAAUAUUAAUAACUUUGUUACCUCAAUUAUUGAUUUAGUAAUAUAUAAAAUAUCGACAGUAAUUGAAUCAAAUAACGUGAGAUACUAUGCAACAAUUACUAUAGCUUGAACAAAACUGAGUGACUUCUCACGUAAGCAUCAAUAAUCAAUACCGUGUGCUACUAAGCAACCACGCGUAUUACUGUACUUACCAAGUAGUUCAACAGUUUUAACGGUAAAACUUCCGCCGUUAUUUUCAUAAAAAUAUUUUUGUUGUUUUCUCAAUUCGACAAUAAUUCCAUUGUGGAGUCCACCAAUGAUUGUGUCGUUGUACGAAUAUUCCCUACUAAAACGAAUAUUCCCCGACCAAUCGAAUAUUAUAUAACAACUUGCUUACUUUUCAAAAUUUAUAAAUAUUACCCACAACUAUAACAUUAUAUCAAAUCCACACCAUAAUAUUAAAAAAAAAUAUUUUGAGAAAUUUAAAUCUUUAUUCAUAAAAUUUGGGGUCUCACAAUCUCCCCUCCUUAUAAAAUUUUGCCAUCAAAAUUUACGUACGUACCUGGUAUGCCGAAGAGAUGAGGAUACCUUGACUUCAUUUCAGAUUCUAACUCUUGAGGUAUAACCUUUGAGUGUUGAAUAUGAUCCUUCUUAUCCGAGAUUUUAACACGUAUCUCCUCAUACGUUAAAUCUUCUGCUAUCUCGUCUAGUUCUAAUUUAAUAACGUGGUUCGGGUCAUCCACAUAUUUACGUAACAUCGACACAUUAAAAACGUUAUGAACACGCGACAUACUUGGCGGUAAAACGAGUCUAUAAGCCACAGUUCCUAUUCGGUCGAGGAUUUCAAAUGGGCCAAUUAAAUCAAGGGUUGAGAUUUCCCCUAUUCAUCGACUCUUGCUUCUAGAAUAACGCCCUCUUGAACCUUCUUCUUCACAUUCAUCAGCUCCGGGUGUGUAGCUUGAGCGGCUUUAACUUUAUCGAUUAAAGUUGAUUCUACUCGUAUAUUCGCUAUCUUCACGUGGGUCUCUAGAGUCUUUAACUCUAUCUUCAUCAUUUGUAAGUUAUACAAAAUGGGCCUUUACGUUGACAAUAUCGCACUCGUACCCGCAUAUGAUCUUCUACUCAAUGCGUCAGCUACCACGUUCACUUUUCCAUGAUGGUAUUGAAUGGUAUUAUCAUAAUCUUCAACAGCUCGAGCCAACGUCUUUAGCGCAUGUUACAUUUGCUUUAGUUGAAGAAAUAUUUAAGGGUUUUUAGAAAUGGGUUUUGUACUGGGGUCAGUACAAAAUUUGAUUUCACGCUCUGGGGUAGGCCAAGAAGUCUUCAGAAAUACAUCACGAAAUUUAUUAACGAUAGAAAUAUCAUUCACAAUUGUGACCCUCAUCCAAGACUUGGAUAGCACAUCACAUUGAUACCUAUCAACUUGCCAUCGUCAUUCACAGCGUCCCCUAUGGAAAGUUCGGCUUCGGUGCAUUCCACACAAAGAAGUUACCAGCGAAAGGUUUGGAGCUCUUUUCUUAUAUCUUGAUAUGACAAUGAUUGACUUUAGUGGUUUGGUUGCUUGAAUUCGUAUAACAGGUUGGUUAGGAAUAUAAAAGCUAACAACCUUACGAAAAUAAUCAAUUUUUGCAUGAUGAGUAGUUAACCAAUCAAUCCCUAGAAUCACAUCAAAUGCAAGUAUUUUCAAAGAGAUAAGAUCGACAGGUAACGUAAAAGUGUCGAUUGAAUUAAACAAGAUUUAAAAAUAGUGGAGUUAACGAAGGUUUCUCCCAAUAGAGUUUCAACAGAUAAUUCAAAGUCUAAUUUCUCUGGAGUCAAAUUUAAACAUUGAGCGCAAGUAGGAGAAAUAAAAGAGUGGGUAGAACUGGUAUCGAAUAAGGUAUAUGCUUUGCAAGAGUUUAUAAUUAACUUACCCGUAAUAACUUUGUUCGGGUUCCUCGAUAAACGCUCUCACUUAAACUACCAAAUUUGACUUGCUAUAGAGUACAUUCCACCCUUAAUUGCUUUAUCACAUUCCUGAUCCAUGAUUUGAAUCAUUAUUCUCUGAUCCAUAUCGAAUUGGGGUUGACCGCUCUGCACAUGGUAAUUAUGAAUUCGAUGCUGGAUUCUCCCAAUUGUUGUCCAAAAAGCAAAAUCCAUUUCAUCUAUUUUGGCCUUAUUGGAUCGGACGUCUUUUUCUACAAUAUCUACGCGUCGUGCAGCUUUUACCCAUGCAUCAUCUAUUCUCCUUCCUUCAGUUGUUUCUUCUUUCAUCAAAACUUUGAUCAUAGCAUUCUCAGAUUCCAGCUCUAAUAUCUUAUACUCUGCCAAAGAGUGCUUCUGUUCAAGCAUCGCACAUCGGGUAACAUAAUUUUGAAUUGUUACAUUUCUUUGCUCCACGACCGCCUGCCGUUCUUCAGCCUUCUCUUCUAAUUCAUGAACACGAUUUUGUAAUUCUAAAUUUAUAUCAUAAAAUUCUUCUAAUAAAUUCUCCUCAGGUUCCUCUUCUUCCUCUUCUUCCUCACUCUCAGCUGCAACCUCUGCGACUAGCUCGGGUGCAACUAUUAGUUCUUCACUCACCACGUAGAUAUCUCUAAUUUCUUCUCCAUCUGACAUCACAUUAAACUGGUUAGUGAUUAAAGGUGCCUCAACGGUCUCAUUCACUCCAUUGUUAAUAUUUUGAGCUGCCAUUUUCAAACACUGCCACGUAUUAUCAAAUACUCUAACCGACCAAUUAAAUACCAAAUAAACUUAGGUAGGUCAUACUAGCGAAGGAAUUCCCCGUCUCUCCCCUCCUAGUUCUUAUCUCACAUCUCAGCCAGGGAUCAUAUCCCUAAGCUUUGAUACCAACUGUGACGCCCCCAAAAUAGGUAUACAUCACCUAUUCUGAGUCGCCAAAUACAUUGUACAGAAUACAAAUACAAUCUUAAAUAUACAACAUGAGCUGUGAGUAUUAAUACAAAUAUUGUCUUCUAGACAGUAUUCAAACUCAAAAUAGGUCCUCAACAGUUUUAACGGUAAAACUUCCGUCGUUAUUCUCAUAAAAAUAUUUUUGUCGUUUUCUCAAUCCGACAAUAAUUUCGUUACGGGGUCCACCAAUGAUUGUGUUGUUAUACGAAUAUUCCCUGUUAAAACGAAUAUUCCCCGACCAAUCGAAUAUUAUAUAACAACUAGCGUACUUUGCAAAAUUUAUAAAUAUUACCCACAACUAUAACAUUAUAUCAAAUCCACACCAUAAUAUUAAAAAAAAUAUUUUGAGAAAUUUAAAUCUUUAUUCAUAAAAUUUGGGGUCUCACAGGUAGGCCAGGAAGUCCUUUAGGGAAUACGUCAGGAAAUUUAUUAACAAUAGAAAUAUCAUUCAAAUCUGACGUAUUUUUGUCUAAAUCCGUGACAUGGGCUAAGAAAGUUUGACAUUCGUUUUUCAAUAAACGAAUGACUUUAUGGCUUGAUAUGACAGUGAUUGACUUUAGUGGUUUGGUUGCUUGAAUUCGCAUAAUAGGUUGGUUAGGAAUAUGAAAGCUAACAACCUUACGAAAAUAAUUAAUUUUAGCAUGAUGAGUAGUUAACCAAUCAAUCCCUAAAAUCACAUCAAAUGCAAGUAUUUUCAAAGAGAUAAGAUCAACAAGUAACGUGAGGGUGCCGAUUUGAAUUAAAAAAGACUUAUAAACAGUGGAUGUAAUGAAGGUUUCUCCCAAUGAAGUUUCAACAGAUAAGUCAAAGUCUAAUUUCUUUGGAGUUAAAUUUAAACGUUGAGCGCAAGUAGGAGAAAUAAAAGAAUUGUUAGAACCGGUAUUAAAUAGGGUAUAGACUUCGUAACAGUUUAUAAUUAGCUUACUCGUGAUAACCUCGUUCGGGUUCCUCGCUUUUUGGGAGGUUACGAAAAAUGCUCUCCCUUGAACUACUGACUUUGACUUGUCUGGGACGGCCUUUGGUGUCUCUAUCCCAGCUGGACUUGUCUUCACUAAAUGACAAAAUUGGGUAAGGUGACCUUCUCUUUCACAAUUGUAACACGCUUUGGAUUGCUACGUACAGUUUAGACUGAUGUGUCCCUCCCCUCCGCAUUUGUAACAUAUGAUCGGUGGUCGUUCUCCUUCCUUGAAAACAGGUGCUGGUGCUGCUGUUCUUCCAUCAUUGUUGAAUCUCCUCUUCUUGAAAUUUCCACUUCUAUUAUCUUGGCUAGGAUUACCACUGAAGUGGUUACCAUUUUUGGCAUAUUGAUUUCCUCUACGUUUGUUGUCACCGCUUCGAUGACUACUGCCACUGGUAUUAUCAUUUUGUUGGCUGCGAUCUUUUGAUUAGGCUGACUCAUUAUCACGCUCCAAUAAUUGAGCCCUAUUCACAAUUAUCUGAAUACAAGCAAAGUUUGUGAGAAAUGAGGUAUUAACGUAUUUUGGGUUUCAAACCUCGCAGAAACAUUCGCGCCAUUCUCUCCUCAUUAUCAACCAAAUGGGAUGAAAAUCGGGAUAACUCCGCAAACUUAGCCUCAUAUUGCGACACAGUUAUAUUGUUUUGCUCCAUCUUGAUGAAUUCCACCUCCUUCAUGUGACGAAUACUUUUAGGAAAGUACUUGUCAUUGAAUAAUUCUUGGAACUUCUUCCAAGACAUCUUCAGUGCGGUAGGCUGAGUACGUUUUACAGAUUCCCACCAAUAAUCUACCUCUCCUCGCAACAUGAAGGUGGCAAAGGGAACCUUUUACUCCUCGGAGCAUCCCAAGAUAUCAAAUAUCUUGGUGAUCUACUUAAUCCACGUCUCUAUCUUAAGUGGUUCUAACUUUCCUAAAAACUUCGGUGGUCCCAGAUCUUUGAAUUGCUUAGCGGUGAUAAUCCAAGAGUUGCCAGUGUUUCCACCUGCAUUUUGAACAAGAGUCUCUCUCGCUUGGUGUUACAUGAAUUGCAGAAAGCUUCUAAACACCCCAUUGUUCAUCAUUUGGUUGGUGUAAUUAUUUACAUGAGGAUUGUUGUCUUCCUGAUGCAUAUUAUCCUAGUUAUUGAUCUGUGGUGACUCAACGGUCUCCUGUGCUCCAUUGCUUAUCUCAAUAUUUUCAGAUGCCAUUUUCAAAUACUACCACAAAACAAGGGUUAAUUGAAAUGCUACAUAUUAUCCCUAUAUUCUGUCCGACCAAUUAAAUAACAAAUAAGUUUAGGUAGGUCAUACUAACGAAGGAUUUACCUGUCUCUCUCCUCCUAGUUCUAGCCUCAAGUCUCAGCCAGGGAUCAUAUCCCUAAGCUUUGAUACCAAAUGUGAUGCCCCCAAAAUAGGUAUACAUCACCCAUUCUGAGUCGCCAAAUACAUGGUACAUAAUAUAAAUACAAACUUAAUUAAACAACUAUCAUGUAACAUAAGCUGAGAGUUUUAACACAAAUAUUAUCUCCUAGACAAUAUCCAAACUCAAAUGAAGUCCUCAUUAUAAAUAUUAUUACACGAAUUCACAGAAUAGUGAGGACUACUAAAGCAACCAUCUGGACCUUCACUCCAUUCCCCGACUAGUCCCAACUAUAUUCUCAUUUUCUGAAGAGAACAAUGAAAGCAAAAGGUGAGGUCAACUAGCCCAGUAAAGAAUAUUAUGACUAAGAUAAUGCAGAAAAAAUUAUCGUUAGCCUUCAACAGUGUUAAACUGAUAGAAUACAACAGAUAACAAGUUUAAUUAUAGCAGAACAAACAAUCCAUUAGAAGAGUUAAGUAGAGCAUGAUAUCUACUAUCUUCUAUGAUUUAAAAGUUUAUCAACAAUUUUAUCGCUGAGACUCAACUCAAUAUAUAAUCCACAUCACUGAAUUAUCUAUGCACUACAGGCUAAGGAUAUUCAUUAUUAUCACAUCCACAAAUCAUCCAUGCACUACGGGCCAAGGAUAUUCUUUAUUAUCAUCAAUGGUCAUGAUCAUGCCAACAACUGUCCAUCGAUACACUACGGGCCAAUGAGAACUUUUACCACAUCAUUUGUAACAUUACAGGUCAUGAUUAUACCGAAUAAUCCCUUGUCAUAAUUAUACCAAUCAACAGUCCAUCUAUGCACUACGGGCCAAAUAUGGCUUUCAUCACAAUAUAAGCAUGAUGAUUAUGGCAAUGAUAUAAGAAUUCAAUCAAACGAAAUCAAGGAUAAAUAUUAAAGAUUUUUAAUUUAUUUGGAGUUUAAAAAUGUCCAAAUUGACAAUAUGACAACUGCUUUGUGGAGUAAAAUUCAAGAAUAAUAUCCAUGUAUCAAAAAUAAUUUGGACAUUAAAGAAAUCAAUUUUUUGGGUGAAUAGUACUUCACCCCGUGAAUAGUACCCCGACAUGAAAAGAUUAAAAUUUAACAAGAAUGUUUAGAAAAUUAUUCCCGUGAAAAGAUACUCGAUGAAGCGCAAAUUUCAAGAAUAUUCUACUAAUUUCAAGGAGUAUAGAAGCAAUACUUAUCAACAUAAGUGUAGAAUUAUGAAUAUGAAAUGAAAUAAUAUUACUUACAUACUACAGAGAGGAAGAAAAUAUUGUUUCUUACGAAUAUUGAACAAAAUAAUAUCCCUUACCAUAAAAAGGAGAGUACUUCUAAAUGGUAUAACGGGGAUAUUUUUGAAGAAAACUUAUAUUGUUUUAUAUACUCAAAGCUUCCUUAACUCAAAAGAAAUACGCUUACUAUUAUAGAAGAAGAAUUCUCCAAUUCUAGUGUGAUUUUCAUUUCUAAACUAAACAUCCUAUUUAUAGGAGAAUGGAAGGAUACUAUUUAAGAAAAUAAUCACGGACAGCACAGAGAAAAUAAUUUCGGGUACAAUGUAUUAGUACACCAUUUGAUCAACCAAUAAGAGAAUAACCUCUUCUGAAGGUAAUUAGAAAUUGGGAGAGAUAGACCAAUGGGAGAGCGCCCUCCUGAGGAGGUAACUAACAAAGUGGGAGAUAAGGACCAAUGAGGGAGCGCCCUCUUUUGAAGGUAACUAGCAAAUGGGGAGAUAUGUACCAAUGAGGGAGCACCCUUAUUAACAAGUUAGUGAAUAGUAACUGAAUUAAUUGAAAAGUUGGCUAAUUAUCAUAACAUAAAGAAGAAUUUAUACCCUAAAAAAACUAAAUGAACAAACACCAAUUUAAAAGGAUAAUUGAACAAACAUCUUCCACUCAUCAAUUAUUAUUCUUAUCUUUAAUCAACAUAAUCUUUAUUAAUCAUUACUAUUAUAACUUAUAAUAUUAACAACCAGAUCAUUCCAAGGAAAGAGGGGGCUUUCCAAUAAGGAUUUCUCCCUAUUAGCGCGUAAUUAGGUGACCAAACCCCUUUCCUCGACAGAACUUUCUAGACAUCGUUAAUAAUGCAAAUAAUAAUAUAAAUAACUUUGUCGUCUCAAUUAUUGAUUUAAUAAUAUAAAAUAUUAUGCAGAUGAUACUGUGACAAUAAUUGAAUCAAUAAUAUGAGAGAUACUAUGCAGCAAUUACUUUGGAAAUAAUUGAAUAAAAUUGAGUGACUUCUCACGUAAGCAUAAAUAAUCAAAGAUAUUGUUCAAUACCGUGUGCUACUAUGCAACUACGCGUACUUUUGUCGUUAUUUUUAUAAAAAGAUAUUUCUUUCAUUUUCUAACUCCGACAAUAAUUCCGUUGUGGGCUCCACCAAUGAUUGUGUCGUCGUACGAAUAUUCCUUGACCAAACGAAUAUGUUAUAACAACUUGCUUACUUUGAAAAAUUUGUAAAUAUUAUCCAUAUCUAUAACAUUAUAUCAAAUCCAUACCAUAAUAUUCAAAAUGAUAUUUAGAGAAAAUUAAUCUUUAUUCAUAAAAGUUAGGAUCUUACAUUUAGUCUUUUUUCAUGAUUUAGAGUUCACCUCAACAUACUAGUACAUCCACCAUUCUUGUUUUUCUCCUAUAAUGUUAAAACAGUCUUCUAAGGAUUUAUUAUCCUUAAUUUGGCUUACUAACUCCAAUGGUAUAUGCCCAUAUAUCCUAUCUUGAUUUUUUGCAGUUUACUAGUUCAUUCAUAUUACACUUGGGUAUAUUAUAGACUCAAUUAUAUCAACUAGUGUGUUAAAGUCAACAUAUUUUAACACAUUUAUUAAACAGUCCCCUCUAUGAUAUUUUUAUGCUUUGGGGUAUUACAACUUGCUUGGGUAAUUUAUAGGUCUUAUAAUACUUUGUAGUUUUUUAUUUUUUUAUACUAAAGUAUUACAUAAUAUUGUUUUUCUUUUAUAAUGCCCAAAACAGUCCCCUCGUGUCUAUUUACGUCGGUAGCCAAGCUUGGCUUGGCCCUGUGAGGUUUGACUAAGCUUGGCGUGGCCUCAUGUGGCCUCGCGGUGCCAAACCCAGCCUAUCCGCCCCAACAGUCCCUUAAUAGGCUUUGAUGGCUUAACUUAGUAUAAUAAUUUCAUGUUUGCUAAAUUUUUUUUGUAAGCUAUUAAACUAAAUUUGGAAGCCACAGAGGGUUCCACAGUGAUACAGUAGCAACUUCUUAUUGCUGUUUCCAGCCAACUGCAGCUGUCAAUGACAACAACCCUUGCCUUUCUUUGACAACAAAAUUAUCCUCUAGUUCCAUGUGAAGUUUUAACAACCUACUUGUGACACAACUCUUAACAUCUUACUUAUCAGUUAUGCUUACGAAAAAGAACUGUUAGUGCCACUUAAGGCCAUUGCUUUUGCUGCUGCGACACGCCACUUGCUGCUAUUUGCAGCGAAAUGCCACUGCCAGUGGGCAGCAGCUGUGCUUCUCAUCUCAGGCCAUAAUCUUCAUUUAUAAUGACCCCUUUUUAGCAAAACAAAGAUGAUUCAUUCAUUUGAGAUAAAGCAUCAAUAGCAAGGCGAUAUACAACUACACAAAUAGAAUAAUUGAUAGCCCAAAAAGAACUCCCAGCAAUUGCCCAUUAGGUUUGCUGCUGCUGCCGAGGCAGCAGCCUUCCACACUGUUAACUAAAAUUCAAUCAUUAACUUUAAUUAUAACUUAUGUGUUAACUUGUCUAUACAUAUGCUUACUAUUUUGGUUUUCUAUUCAAAGCGGCCUCACCAAAUAGUCCCAACACAAUAAAAGUAGCUCAAUAUUCUAGGCACAUAAGGUGACUGCAGUAGCACAGUAUACCCAGCAGCGCGCUUGUGAACCAAUACAACUGUUGCUGCCAGCAGUUGCUCAGACCCAAACAACCCAUUUUUCUAUUUUAUGUCAUACGAACCCAUGAUCCAAUCCAAGUCAGUUGUUGAUAUGUUAUAGCUGGUAUAGAAAAUUAUUUUACAAAAAUUAUAAACAAUCCAAACUGAAAUCUUAGACAUAUGUAAUAGGGAAAUAAAAUUGCCUAGCUGCUCAAAAUAGAGAUUCCAAAUGACUUGACAUACUAAUUCCAACUUUUCAUUUUUAACUAGAAAUUAAGUUUUAUUCUAACUUUACACACUCAAUCCUUCUAGUUAACAUCACAUAUGUUUAAUAAAUCAAGCCCAAGCUUUACUUUAGUGUAGUAUUUAGUUUUCAGUCAAAACUGUUCUUUUAGGACUUUUAUCAAACAGUUGGUAGGCACAGUUUUGAGCUAUCAGUUUCACAAUCAUUGGUUUAUAUCAUGAACCCAUUUUAUCAUCCUUAUUACUCCUCAGCCCAACAUAUCUCCUUGUGCCUAAAUUCAAUCCAUAACAGUCAAAUACACAAUUAAAUAUAUGUAUAUUCAAGUAAUUGACAACUAUUUAGUUUAUAAAUCAGCUAAUUUACUAAUUUUCUUACCUUCAACUUUAUUAAUAAUACAAAUCACAACCAUAACAAUAGUAAUACUAACAUAAUAUAGUAGCCCCUUCAUUUUCUUUUUAGGCCAUUCGGCCAUUGCAGAUCACUAGUAGCAAGAAAAUGGAACGACAAAGGAUUAGAAAGAGCUUACCCUAAUAGUUCAAAGAUUACAAUUGGAUGUGCUGCUCAAUCUCUUCUCCUUCUCAGUCGGACUCCCUUUUAUUCUCUCUAUACUCUACUUACUUCUAUUUCUUGCUGGACUGAACUGUUCUACUUCUUAGAGAGUCGAUUAUAUGUUGUUUUCUCCCCCCUUUCAGUCAGUCCUAUUGCCAUUAGUUGGCCUCUACACAUCUACCCUACCAAGCUUCAAACAAUUAUUCCUAGUCUAGUCUACUUGGCCCCUACUGUCAAACCACAGCUACUCUAUCACUUCUUAUCCUUUGUAACUCUAUCCCUUCUUAUAACAAACUGCUAACUGAUGGCUAAACUAAC
rnacentral:lncRNA from 1 species